rnacentral:rRNA from 1 species
UACGAAGGGGGCUAGCGUUGCUCGGAAUCACUGGGCGUAAAGCGCACGUAGGCGGGUCGUUAAGUCAGGGGUGAAAUCCUGGAGCUCAACUCCAGAACUGCCUUUGAUACUGAGGAUCUUGAGUUCGGGAGAGGUGAGUGGAACUGCGAGUGUAGAGGUGAAAUUCGUAGAUAUUCGCAAGAACACCAGUGGCGAAGGCGGCUCACUGGCCCGAUACUGACGCUGAGGCACGAAAGCGUGGGGAGCAAACAGG